AUACGGAGGGUGCAAGCGUUACUCGGAAUCACUGGGCGUAAAGCGCGCGCAGGCGGGCUGAUAAGUUGGAUGUGAAAGCCUACGGCUCAACCGUAGAACUGCAUCCAAAACUGUCAGGCUAGAGUGUGGGAGAGGCAGAUGGAAUUAGUUGUGUAGGGGUAAAAUCCGUAGAGAUAACUAGGAAUACCAAAAGCGAAGGCAAUCUUCUGGAACACUACUGACGCUGAGGCGCGAAGGCGUGGGGAGCAAACAGGAUUAGAAACCCCGGUAGUCC
rnacentral:rRNA from 1 species